rnacentral:ribozyme from 1 species
GAGAAAAAAAAAAAAGACAAAAAUGUCAAAGAGUUUCAUCCGAUUAUUCCACUUUUCAUCUCUCGAACCUAGACUUGAACCUAAUUUUUCUUCUACUGUUGCUUUGAUUGUGUUC